AAUGAACGUUGGCGGCAUGGAUUAGGCAUGCAAGUCGAGCGAGAAGUGUAGCAAUACACGGAAAGCGGCGGAAGGGAGAGUAAUACGUGGGAAUCUGCCCUUAGACCUGGGAUAGCAGCGGGAAACUGCUGGUAAUACCAGAUAAUGUCUAUGGACCAAAGGUGUGAUUCCGUCUAGGGAUGAGCCCACGUCCUAUUAGCUAGUUGGUAGGGUAAUGGCCUACCAAGGCGAUGAUGGGUAGCGGGUGUGAGAGCAUGACCCGCCUCACUGGGACUGAGACACUGCCCAGCCACCUACGGGUGGCUGCAGUCGGGAAUCUUCGUCAAUGGGCGAAAGCCUGAACGGGCGACGCCGCGUGCGGGAUGAAGGCCCUUGGGUUGUAAACCGCUGUCGAGGGGGAUGAAGGCUUGAAGGUACUCCUUCAAGUUUGACAGAGCCCUGGAGGAAGCACGGGCUAAGUUCGUGCCAGCAGCCGCCGUAAUAC
rnacentral:rRNA from 1 species